AUUGAACGCUGGCGGCAUGCUUUACACAUGCAAGUCGAACGGUAACAGGGAGCUUGCUCCGCUGACGAGUGGCGAACGGGUGAGUAAUAUAUCGGAACGUACCCAAGAGUGGGGGAUAACGUAGCGAAAGUUACGCUAAUACCGCAUACGAUCCAAGGAUGAAAGCAGGGGAUCUUCGGACCUUGUGCUCCUGGAGCGGCCGAUAUCUGAUUAGCUAGUUGGUGAGGUAAAGGCUCACCAAGGCGACGAUCAGUAGCUGGUCUGAGAGGACGACCAGCCACACUGGAACUGAGACACGGUCCAGACUCCUACGGGAGGCAGCAGUGGGGAAUUUUGGACAAUGGGCGCAAGCCUGAUCCAGCAAUGCCGCGUGAGUGAAGAAGGCCUUCGGGUUGUAAGGCUCUUUUGUCAGGGAAGAAACGGGAGUGGCUAAUAUCCAUUCCUAAUGACGGUACCUGAAGAAUAAGCACCGGCUAACUACGUGCCAGCCGCCGCGGUAA
rnacentral:rRNA from 1 species